GAAUCGAACCUGCUCUGGACUGGGGACUCGGGGGAGCACCGGGAGCUUGCACCCGUGGACUACCGGGAGCCCAGCCUGGGCAGCGGCAUUUUCCAGCGCCAGAGGGAUUGAUAACAGAGCGAACACCCACAGGAAAGAGACCCUCUGAAUUUGUCAUCUCUUCUGAAGGGCGAGAGGGACAAGCCUCUUUUCUCCUGGGCAAGAACUGAUUUUUUUGUGGGCCUGUUCCUGUUUCCAGACAGUAGGCCUGGAGCAGGCUUUUUCUCCUGUUACCAGUGGUGGCAAGAAAACCCAGGCUGAAGCUCCUGUUUUACUUGACACAGGACCUAAGAUUUCUGGAAGUGAGUGGGAAAAACAAGAGGAAAAGUCUUUGGCUUUUUUAUCCAUGAUGGGAAGAAAGAUGACCUUGCCUUCAUCCUUCUCUCCCCCUCUUCACUUCCAACAAUUUUGCUAACACUGAUUAGUAUAAGAUAAAAUACUGUCACAGCCAAGAGGCUGGAAAUGGAGUAUGUUACUUAGGUGAGUAAAACAGGCUACUGCUCUGUUCUUGAAAAAAAAAAAAAAAAAAAAAAAAAAAAAAAAGAAAUAAAAAAAAAGUGGAAUCUUUAGGUUGACCAAGUCAAGAUGGGCAACUUGGAUAGAAAGCUUAAUGAAAACUCUAUAAAUUUCAGAUGAGGUCAAAUCUCUGUUCUCUUUUUACACAAAGGCAAAUGUACUAAUCCUUAUCUCUGCCUGUCUUGUGCAUUGUUAUACCCUGUUCAAGUGAGUAGCGCUGAUGCAGAAAGCUCUCCAUCUGUCCUAAUUAAGACAGGCUGUACAAAACAUCAUUAGGUGGAACAAAGCAAAGCAUCUACUUGCAAUGCUGUCUGCAAAUCCAUUACAUAACUUGAGUCCUUUAGCCAUCAGUUACCUUGGAGUAAAACACUUGAGGCUGACAAGCCCUUAGUGGUGGUGAUGAAGCAAUGUGCUGUAAUCCUGAGCUGUUACCACAGAAUUUUUGCUAAACAGAAAUAACCAAAGUAGAGUGAAAAAAACUUAUGUGCUAAGUUUUCUUUCUUUUAACUCAUUCUCUAUGGUUUCUCUACUGCACUUAAGAGAUUUGUUGGCUAAGGUGUGGUAGCUCACUGAACAACAUUAACAUCAAAAUUGUGCAGCUUUUUCUUUUUCUAAUGAUGGAAGUGAUGGAUGAAAUGUUUUACUUUGUUUUUUAGAUGUUCUUGUUUUUCAGCUUCUAGAAAAAAUGCACUUUAAAGAAUGUAUAUUUUAUUCAGAGGAGAAAGAGUGGAAAAGUUUUGAUUCACCUUUCCAUGUGUGAGAAUUCAUUUCAAGGUUGUGGACUUUGGCCCAGUAGUGGUUCAAUUUGAAAAGUAACUCAGAGGUGGGCAAGAAUUUUCUUCCAUUAGGGAUAUGUAGUUGAAAAGUACAUUCCCAGUUUUUCUUGUUUAUUUUUGUUGUUGUUGUUUCCUCUUUUUUCCAAUGAGGAAAUUUGAGUACAAUUGAAAUAUUUACCAUUUCAUACAGCUAAAGCAUUUUUGGUUUUUUUUCAGUUAUGCAUUUAUUUGCAUCUACAUGGGAAUUCAUAUUGAAAGGAAUACUUAUUACUUUUUCCUCUUCAAUGGAAAAAAUGUUAACACCAGCUUUUAAAAUUAUGUGGACUGACUUCCAGCAGCACAGACUCAUUUCUAACCUGCACAGUGGACUCUAGGACUGCAGCAGGAUGAAGGAAUUCCCCCACAGCUGCUCCUCUCUGGCACUGAAAAGUAUUAGUGGCUGGCUGGUGAUAGAAGAACAUAAAUAAUUUCAGAAUUUCCAAACUUAAUAUUGUCUGGAAACCUAGAAGAAAAUGUAGAUAGACGGAUUAAGUUUUUAUUUCUUAUGUAAGAAAGAAAUAUUAAAAUAUUGGCAUUUUUGUUUGAAACUGGGACAUUGCACAGCUCACCAGGAGAGGAACAGCAGUCUCCCCACAAUCCCCUUGUGGGAGAGGUCAGUACUGGUAGCUGUCACCUCCCAUCCACUUUACAGGCUAUUACAUUUGUCUGCAGAAAAGAAUCACCUGAAAGGCUCAGCAGCAUCAUCUCUCCCAAAUUUCCUCUUGCAUUCUGUGUUUCUCGGGCUGAGCAUCAUGAAGUUGCCUGCCUGUUUUUAUUGUUGUUUUUUUUGGUUUUUUUUUUCUAGUUACCAGAGCUGUGACAGCACAAAACCCCAGGCAAGGCAAUGCAAUUAAGAAGUUUUAAGGCCUCUCCAGGAGCAAACAAGUACCCAACUUGGCAUACAUAUAUGUUAUUCAUUUCUCAGACUUUUUGUUUGUUCUGCUGCUCCUGGAGCACAGUUCCACUCAUGGCAGUUUUCCUCUGCAGUCUAACACAGCGUCCUUCAGCCCCUCUUGUCCUGAGACAACGGGGAGCCUUGUCUGCACUUAGUAGAAUCAAGCAUUUCUAGAGAAAGAAGGAACCCCCCUGAUGAUAGAAGGAAGAUCUAGCAGGAUAAAUAAUUUAAGAUAGCAGUGAAAAGAGUAGGAGGAGCACAAAGAGGAAAGAUAAAGUCAAAGGAAGGGACAGGAUCAAAAGAGAGGGGAGAUGACAAGUGAGAGCAGAACUGUGAGGGCGAGAACAAUGGAGAUGCUGCAGCAGCACUGGAAGACUAAAAAAUGUUGAGCCUUGAUACGUUCAGAGUUCAACUUUCCUUUAGCAAUGCAUGGAACAGUAUGUCGAGAUGGAGUUUCAGCAUCUACAUGUAACAAAGCAACCACUUUUAUCCAUUAUUUAAACACAAGGCAUCAAGAUCCACCGUGCAACUUUGCCUGGUACAAGGGCAGGUGUCUUGUUUCCUUUGCUAUGUCUGCACGUGUCUUGCAGCUGCAUGUUGCAGAAAUAAUGCAGGACCAGAUGCACAAGCUCUGUCACACAGGACCUGCAGUCAAGUCCCGCCUGUUCACAUAUGCCCAAGAUAUUUCUGUGAAAGCAACAGGUAGAUUUGGUAUCUGCCUUUUCAUACUACCUUUAAGAUUAAGAACAUAAGCAGUACUUUAUUCUUUGUCUUUUAAGAUGCCAUUUAACUUUCCCAUGCAGCUGAUUACACAUCAGGAAUUGGAGGACAG